UACAGAGGUCUCAAGCGUUGUUCGGAUUCAUUGGGCGUAAAGGGUGCGUAGGCGGCGCGGUAAGUCGGGUGUGAAAUCUCGGAGCUUAACUCCGAAACUGCACUUGAUACUGCCUUGCUAGAGUACUGGAGAGGAGAUUGGAAUUUACGGUGUAGCAGUGAAAUGCGUAGAUAUCGUAAGGAAGACCAGUGGCGAAGGCGAAUCUCUGGACAGUUACUGACACUGAGGCACGAAGGCCAGGGGAGCAAACGGG
rnacentral:rRNA from 1 species